rnacentral:tRNA from 1 species
UCUCGCGUAGCUCAGUUGGUAGAGCAUCGGUCUUAUGAGCCGAAGGUCUUGGGUUCGAGCCCCAGCACGAGAA